rnacentral:lncRNA from 1 species
UAUUUAGAGGCCAGAAUUCCAGGUUUAGGAAAAUGGCAACGGUAUUUCAGAGUCGCUAGCAAUUUCCGCAAAACAAGUUGAAUAAAAUAGCUCAACUGGCAUAUCGUUGAGUUCAUAUACAACCAAG